GUCGCGUUUAAAUCAGGUUCUAAUCUAUAAUUUUACAGUCCAACGCAGGGGUGCUCAAAUCUUUUUCCUAUGAAAGGUCAAAACCAAAUGUCAUUGAGAGCCGUGUGCCGAAGAAGCUGGCUCCCUGGCAUGACGCAGCAGGACCGAGAGCUGAGAAUCAAAAUCUCAGUCGGUGUAGAUUACCUCAGGAGAGAUCCGUGCCACAAUGGCGAAGGUAAUUUGUGAAGAUUUUUAUUUUUUUUGGUUGAAACUUUCAACAACAACACAAUAAAAAUUGCUCUUAGCAAAACUGAAGUCAGAAAAGAACAUGAAUAACUGAUAAUAGUAUGGUGAGUAGUGUAUGUGUGUGAAUGCAAGAGUGUAUGGAUGUUUCCCAG